rnacentral:lncRNA from 1 species
GUGGGAGUGGCCUUCGGAUCAGUUGCUCUACCCUGGCUCUUCACUGUCUGUGGGCCUCCCUGUCCCAGAGACUUCUGAACAGGCUGGGUCAACUUGAGCAAAGCCAGGUCCCCGUCCUUGGGUUUGAUUUCAGUGAUGAUCUCCCCUGCCUCUGCGGUAGCCCCCUUCUUCAGCACACGGAGCCCACUGAAGAAAGCUGGAAGCUGGAAGGACUUCUCUCCGGGAGCUUCUCUUUUAGAAACAGUGUUCACAAGAGCACCUCCAGUCUGGUCUGUUGCUGCAGGUGGGAUUUGAGACCCUUCUUCUGCAACCUGGUCCUGCCUGGGGCUGUGCUCUGCCGGAUGGCUACCAUCACCACCAGGUUCCAGUUCGCUACUUGUCUCAGGUCACAGGCGUCCUCCCUUCCGGUUUGCUCGAUGCCGGCGUACCCAGGGCAACUUGUUAAGGCUGGGCAACGCUAUGCCCCAAAGCAGCUGGGGCUGCACACCUUACUACACAUGGGCAGGUAGGCGGUUCUUCUGGACUUCCGUAUUUACUCCCCAGGACAAAAGGCUUUUUGUCGCAGGCAAAGUCAGCCUGUCCCAUAAUCCCAGCCCAGGACUUCAGGAGGAGCUCCGCCCCAGAGCCUACGAUUCUCCUGGUCGCAUUCAACUUCCUCAUUGGUGAGAGCAAGUUGAGGUUUUUAAAAGUGCUGAGAGGGCAAGCUGGUCCGGACAGCCCUGAACCACCCCCUGGUGCAGCCCAAGAGAUUCCAAAGUGAAUCAGCAGAAAAUGACCAAAGUGAACUCUCUUUUCCAUCCGAUGGUAAUCAAAGGCCUGGGCCAGCGAGGCCCUA